ACGGAAUAGAUACCCGGGUAGUCCUUGCCGUAAACGUUGUAUACUUGAUGUAGUUAGGCUCAACCCUGACUGUGUCGAAAGCUAAACGCGAUAAGUAUACCGCCUGGGGAGUACGCUCGCAAGGGUGAAACUCAAAAGAAUUGACGGGGGCCCGCACAAGCAGUGGAGCAUGUGGUUUAAUUCGAUGCAACGCGAAGAACCUUACCCAGAUUUGAAAUACAGAGGACAGCAGCAGAAAUGUUGUCUCCCGCAAGGGCCUUUGUACAGGUGCUGCAUGGCUGUCGUCAGCUCGUGCCGUGAGGUGUUGGGUUAAGUCCCGCAACGAGCGCAACCCUUAUCAUUAGUUGCCAACACGCGAGGUGGGGACUCUAAUGAGACUGCCUGGGGUUAACCAGGAGGAAGGUGAGGAUGACGUCAAGUCCGCAUGGCCUUUAUAUCUGGGGCUACACACGUGCUACAAUGGACGGCACAGGAGGCAGCAAGACCGCAAGGUGGAGCAAAUCCGUAAAGCCGUUCCCAGUUCAGAUUGUA
rnacentral:rRNA from 1 species